AGAGUUUGAUCCUGGCUCAGAUUGAACGCUGGCGGAAUGCUUUACACAUGCAAGUCGAACGGUAGAGGGGGCAACCCCUUGAGAGUGGCGAACGGGUGAGUAAUAUAUCGGAACGUGCCCAGUCGUGGGGGAUAACGUAGCGAAAGUUACGCUAAUACCGCAUACGAUCUAAGGAUGAAAGCGGGGGAUCGCAAGACCUCGCGCGAUUGGAGCGGCCGAUAUCAGAUUAGGUAGUUGGUGGGGUAAAGGCUCACCAAGCCAACGAUCUGUAGCUGGUCUGAGAGGACGACCAGCCACACUGGAACUGAGACACGGUCCAGACUCCUACGGGAGGCAGCAGUGGGGAAUUUUGGACAAUGGACGCAAGUCUGAUCCAGCCAUUCCGCGUGCAGGAUGAAGGCCCUCGGGUUGUAAACUGCUUUUGUACGGAACGAAAAGGUUUCCAUUAAUACUGGGGGCUCAUGACGGUACCGUAAGAAUAAGCACCGGCUAACUACGUGCCAGCAGCCGCGGUAAUACGUAGGGUGCAAGCGUUAAUCGGAAUUACUGGGCGUAAAGCGUGCGCAGGCGGUUAUGUAAGACAGAGGUGAAAUCCCCGGGCUCAACCUGGGAACUGCCUUUGUGACUGCAUAGCUAGAGUACGGUAGAGG
rnacentral:rRNA from 1 species